AGAUGUGAGGGUGAUCUGGCUGCGCCAUCUGUCACCCCAUUGAUCGCCAGGGUUGAUUCGGCUGAUCUGGCUGGCUAGGAUCACCUUCCUCCCUCACCGCUCCAUGUGCGUCCCUCCCGAGGCUGCACACUCUGUCAAAGAGGAUGGCCUUCCCCGAAUAGCGAUGGACAAGUCUUCGGUCGAGAUUGUACAAAUAGCUGCACUCCCCUGCUAGAACCUCCAAACAAGCUCUCAAGGUCCAUUUUUAUUUUAUAUUUAUUCCCUUUUGUUGCUCUUGUUUUAUUGCUGUAGUUA
rfam:Erinaceus europaeus unplaced genomic scaffold scaffold00356, whole genome shotgun sequence